rnacentral:rRNA from 1 species
GGGCCCGCACAAGCAGUGGAGUAUGUGGUUUAAUUCGAAGCAACGCGAAGAACCUUACCAGGGCUUGACAUCCCUCUGACCGGACUAGAGAUAGUCCUUCCCUUCGGGGCAGAGGAGACAGGUGGUGCAUGGUUGUCGUCAGCUCGUGUCGUGAGAUGUUGGGUUAAGUCCCGCAACGAGCGCAACCCCUGUUGUUAGUUGCCAGCAUUAAGGAUGGGCACUCUAACAAGACUGCCGGUGACAAAUCGGAGGAAGGUGGGGAUGACGUCAAAUCAUCAUGCCCCUUAUGUCCUGGGCUACACACGUACUACAAUGGCGAUUACAGAGUGAGGCAAGACCGCGAGGUGGAGCAAAUCACUAAAAAUCGUCCCAGUUCAGAUUGCAGGCUGCAACUCGCCUGCAUGAAGUCGGAAUUGCUAGUAAUGGCAGGUCAGCAUACUGCCGUGAAUACGUUCCCGGGCCUU